UAAAUCUUAAGCUGUGCAAUGGGAUGAGAUCCGAAGCUCUCCGAGGGAUAACAUAGGCUCUCCCAUCCAACUCCUAUUCCGACACAUCCUCGUCGUGCAGAGUGGUAACAUGUGCCUCCAUAUAUCCUAGCUUGGGUACACGGGCUAGAUCCAACCCCUUGGGCGGAUGAUGGCAUAUGGCGAACCAGGAGGGG
rnacentral:ribozyme from 1 species